GGGCGCAUACACCGCAUGUUGACGUGCACCCUGGACUAGGUUUUCAGGCGUUUCCUAGCUCCCCUCGGACCGAAUGGCCGGGUGCGGGUGGCACAGCCUCGCCUGUUGUUAGGCUCCCCACCUCAUCGCAUACGUCAACAUGGGGUCCUCCCCACGGCGGGCGGAAGCCUUAUCACACGACCGUUCGCCGAUUUGCGGGGGAGGAAUGUGGUGUCACCGCCAGACACCACACUUGCUAGGUGGUAGUUUAAAUCGGCCGCGGUCCAUUUAGUACAUGUCGGACCCGCGUGUCGCCACUGUGUAAUCGCAGACCUAGCGCCACCACAAGGCAGGUCUCGUGAUACGAACAAGCACUCGCCCAGUUGGACGGACGACCUAGCUAGCGACUAGAUGUACGAAGCCUUUCUCUCUCAUUAGCCGAGAGACAGAAUAGCCUUCAGCUAAGUUAAUGGCUACGAACUAGCAAGGCGCCAUUAGCCUUACAGUGAUUGUAAUUAAAGUCUCCUGUGUAUAGUCAAGAGCGAUGUACCACAAUCAUUGAUUAAAGAUAAGUAUUAAUCCAG